GUUCUGUGAUUGUUUGUUCAUGCCUGACACGUGCGUGAUUUUAAAUGACCUAACUUGUACUGCAUCCCCUCGUCUCCGUGCAUUUGUAUCGACUUCGAUAACCCACGUAUAGUAUAUGACUAUAAUAGUAAUUAUACAUAUAGCAUAAAGUCACAACAUGGUGUCAGAAGACGGAGUCACGGAAUAAUUUGCGGAUGGUAUUUUAAAAGUUAGCUAAAAAAAAAGUGCUAGCACGUGCGAACAUGGAGCAGUUCAAGCCGCCACCACCGUUGAUACUUACUGGGAAUAUAGCUGAAAACUGGAGAAGAUGGGAACAACGUUUCCAGCUGUAUAUGAUCGCUUCAGGUGCGUUGGAUAAGGAAGAGACGGUUAAAAUAGCCAUUCUGCUGCAUACUGUCGGCGAGGAGGCGCUAGAAGUGUAUAACACGCUCAGCAUCAUCCCAGAAGGAGAUGAAGAAACAAUGGAGGAAGUUCUCCAAGCCUUCACGGACUACUGCAGCCCCCGAAAGAACGUGGUUUUCGAACGCCAUCAAUUCUGGCCACACGUGAUGUCAGCAGGAAUAUCGGUGGACAGAAGAGCAAAGACUGAGUUUGUCAGAAAUGAAGAUGACAUGAUUUGGGAUAAAUGAGUGUUUCGCAUAAACGAUAUUCGUCUGAAGGAGAGACUGUUGCGUGAUAAUGCGCUCACUUUGCGCGGAGCCAUGGACACGUGCAGAUCAGCAGAGCUCGCUAAGUGACAAAUACAAGCGAUGCAGACGUCACAGGUUGUCCAAGACACCUCAGUAGAUGCUUUAAGGAAAGCAACAGGGCAAACGUGCACGGGCAGCUGGAACAAGAGCAAAACCAGCAGCAAGAGGCACGUAACGACUGUCUGCCAUAAAUGUGGAAACAAGCGCGAGCCCCGUCAGUGCCCAGCUUAUGGUGCAGUGUGCCAUAAAUGUGACGGGAGAUGUGGAGACUGCAGCUGUACCUGUAGCCAUGCAGCCGCCGCGCUUUGGAAGGAGAGCUCACGUCCUGCCUCUGGUCCAGUCAUCCCCUGCAUCACUUGUCAGAAGGAAGUUCCCUUUUCAGAGGUGAAGCUCCACAGAUUGAGCUGCAAUGGCGUUGUGACAGAUUUUGGGAAACCACUUAGAAUGAAGAUGGAUGUAAGGGAGUCUGAAGAGGACCGGGAACGGGAGCUUCUCUUAUUCUAUAAACAGCAGCAAGAAUGGGCAUGUCCUCUUCAUUGUACUCUGGUUGGUGAUGUUGCUGUUGGAGAGGGAGUGAUGCGGUACUUUAUGACAACAAUCAUAUCCAAACUCCAGUUUGGAUUCAGUCUAGAUCUUGGAGGAAUGGGCCGAACACUGCUAUUUGAGGGUGAACCUGACCAUCUUGUUCCAGCAGCAUCAGAGGCACUUAUUGAAAGCAACCUCUUCUGGGUUGCAGGAAGGAUGUUGGCCCACACCUUUCUGCAUGACGGUCCCCAUGUCACAGGAUUAAGUCCUGCUGUAAUUCAUGUACUGUUCAAUGGGGACCCUGAAAUGGCUACUGUUGUUGUUGAAGACUGUCCUGAUCUGCACAUCAGGAGCAUCAUAGAACUUUUAUGUAACCUAAAAGAAACUUUGCCAUGUAAAAAAUAUUGCUUGGGCAGAUAUAAUAAAUAGUAUGGUCCUUAUUCUAUCUUGAACAAGAAGAACUUGUUCUUGGAACAGAAAGAAACAGUUUCAGAUCUUUCCAUGUCUUGGGAUCAUCCGGCAGUCACCAAAACAAAUCGGAGAUGGCUACAUAAUAAACUUCUACUCCAUGCAGUCGUUGGGAGGACCAUGCGCCAAAUUAAACAGUUGACAAAGGGACUGAAAGAUGUGAUGGUAUGGCCCCUGCUGACAUCUAGGCCAGAUGUUGUCCCACUUCCUUUCCCCAAAAUGGCUGAAAUGCAGUUCACACCCCAGAUGCUCCUAGAAAAAUCACAUGGCCAGUUGAGGACAGUGAUGAUGAAGACUUUGACUUGGACACCACCUGCCGCUUCACUGGCUUUCUAAGGAUGUUCAUUGAAACAGCUUCAUCAGGUACCCUGGCCCAGCUGCUGACAUUCUGGGUUGGCUGGGAGAUGCUUCCUCCUGAACUGACAGUGGAGAUUUCUGAGGGAACCCUUCCUAUGUCCUCCACAUGCUUUGAAACACUAAACCUGCCAUCCAUCCAUCCAUCCAUCGUCAAACCGCUUAUCCUGCAGACAGGGUCGCGGGGGGGCUGGAGUCCAUCCCAGCCAACUUUGGGCGAUAGACCGGGUACAUCCUGGAUUGGUCGCCAGCCAAUCGCAGGGCUAACACAGAGACAUACAAUCAUUCACACUCACACAUCUACGGGCAAUUUAAAGUCCCCAAUUAACCUGAUCCCCAGAGCAUGUCUUUGGACUGUGGGAGGAAGCCGGAGUACCCGGAGAGAACCCACGCAGACACGGGGAGAACAUGCAGACUCCACACAGAAAGGCCACUGGGCAGAGUCAAACCCAGGACCUUCUUGCUGUGAGGCGACAGUGCUAACCACCACGCCACCGUGCCGCCUAAACCUGGCAGCUCAUUUCAAAAUCUACAUGGACUUUGAGAAAGCACUUGUCGCUGCUAUAAAAAGUACUGGAUUUGGGCUUGUUUAAGUUUUUUCAGACAGAUGUCAAUUAGGGCAGGGCAAUAUUUCAAUAUUAUAUCUAUUGUGAUUUUGAAGCGUAAUAUUGUUACAUGGUAAGUUUAGUCUUUUCCUGGUUUCAAAGGCUGCAUUACAGUAAAGUGUCAUUUUCUGAAUUUACCAGACUGUUCUAGCUGUUCUAUUAUUUGCCUUUAACCACUUAGUCAUUAUAUGCACAUUAUGAUGGUUAUUUUUCAGAAAUUUAAAUGUGGAAGAUAUUUUGUGAAUGAAUCAAUUGUCAACCAUACAAUAUCGUCAUUGAGGUGUUUGGUCAAAAAUAUUGUGAUAUUUGAUUUUCUCCAUAUUGCCAGCCCUAAUGUCAAUGCCUACACUGUUCAGAUGAAUUGACACAAGUUCAGUGUCUUUGAAAACUUUGAUUAACACACUGUGCACAGUAGUUGACUUUUUAUUUUAUUUUUAUUCUGCACAUUAUAUAUAUAUAUAUAUAUAUAUAAUAUUUUUAUUUAAAAAAAUAAAUAUUUUAUAUAUAUUAUAUAUAUAUAUAU
ensembl:lncRNA